UACAGUGUUAGCUAGGACUAUGGUAAUGACAACAGUAAUGACACCCCUAGAGGAGAGGAUCACAAGACCUAAACCUGGGAUUCCACUCAGUACUCCCUUCUUCUCUUCUCCAGCUGCACAUGAUCUUGAAAGGUGAAAGGUUAACUGAAGAUGUGAGUUCAUGAAGCAGCUUUGGUUUGAGGUGGCCAGUCUACCACUUGUCUUCUUGCAGAGUAAUGAACACAUGUGGGAAACCUUGUCUUUACUCAAAAAGGGAACGUGUCAUCAGCACAAGGUUUAACAUGCUGAAGUUGAUAGUGAGUUCCCACUGGACGUCAAACAACCACCCUCCUCUGUCCAUUCACAACAGUGGUUCCUCACUUGAGCAAAAUUCACGAAACAGUGCAGAAUAUUUUAGGAAAAAAUUCCAUGACCCUUCCAAAUCUGAGAGAGUUGUGUUAACUCAUUCCAGACUUCAAGUAAUCAGGUG